CCUCGCUUUGCCUUAAAGCCUUUUCCCACCUCCAUAAAUACCAUACCAGGCUCCUCCCUCUCGCUCAGGCAAUCUCUCUCUCUCUGGUUUUUCUCUACAGAAACAAGUUUGUUAUUAAAGCAUCAACAUGGAUCCAUUUUUCCGGCGAAAAGAUAAGGUUAUCUUUGUAAUGGGAGCCACCGGGACUGGCAAGUCCAGGCUUUCCAUAGACCUCGCAGCCUGUUUCCCUGCUGAGAUUAUAAACUCUGACAAACUGCAAGUCUACAGAGGCCUGGACAAAGUCACUGAGGAGGAGUGUAGAGGCAUACCUCACCACUUGCUACGCGAAAUCGAUCCAAGCUCAAACUUCACGGCCAAUGAUUUCAAGCACAUCGAAUCGAUCUUCAUCGCCGGUGGUUCGAAUUCCUACAUCGAUCGGACGGUGGGUUUGCUGGAUGAGGUCAGGAGAACUGAAGCUGACGAAACCCGAGCGGCUACUUCUAAAAUUAAAGAAAGCGCUUGCCAAUUGCAAAAGAUCCGUCGCCUGCACAGCCGACGAAACUGGAACAUGCACCGCCUCGAUCGAUGCUACACAAAUUUUCUUCAAGCACCACGUGGAGGCCGAUCAAGCAUGGGAAAAACUCGUGGCAAGAACCAAGCUCCUACAUAGAUGAAGUGCGCAGUGGUCCCUGGCCCACAUACCUACAAUCUCCAUUUGACAUGAUACCACGUGGCAGGUUGCAUGUUUUGUUUUGUUUUGUUUUUGUUGUGGGUUUUAAGCUUUUUUUCUUUUUUCUUCUUUGGGAUUGGGAGUGAAUCCUUCUGUGGCAUCAUUGUCAUUUCUGUGUCUUGUUAUCUUGAUCGAUUUUUAACGACGUGACUUUGGAGGCACUCUUGCUGCCUCAAUUGAACGUGCAA